UACGUAGGGAGCUAGCGUUGUCCGGAAUCAUUGGGCGUAAAGAGCGCGUAGGCGGCCCGGUAAGUCCGCUGUAAAAGUCCAGGGCUCAACCCUGGAAAGCCGGUGGAUACUGUCGGGCUCGAGUCCGGAAGAGGCGAGUGGAAUUCCCGGUGUAGCGGUGAAAUGCGCAGAGUAUCGGGAAGAACACCCGUGGCGAAGGCGGUUCUCUGG
rnacentral:rRNA from 1 species